UCCACUCACUGUGACAUUUGUCUAGUGUAGUUGCCCACGGGGGAAGCGGGGAGACGUGCUGGAAGCCGGAGACACAAACCCAGAACAGGACCCAAACAAACACUACUGGAGAUAAAAGAGUCAAAAACACCGGGUCAGUGUUCUUUCCGGGGUGUCUGAGGAUAAACGAGGGACUCGAAUGACUGACCCUAAGGACAGGGGGGAGGAGGAUCAAAAAGAAAAGUGGUGAUCCCCGAAGAUGGGCUCUUUCAGAAAGGCAGCCCCAAGAAAAUACUCACUUUCCUGACACUCAAAGGCCGGGAGAGCGGCUGGUGGGAGGUACAAAGAUCAAGAUGCAGAACUCUCAGCUACCUAUCCAGCACCAUGUCUGCCAGUAUACCAUCAUACUUCUUACCAUGAUGAUAAUGGACUAAACCUCUGAACUGGUCUCAUGAAUCCCAGGCUUGCCUUAUGGAUGACCUUCAACUCCUGACCCUGCCAUUUCUGCCUCUGAAAUGCUGAGAUGACAGGAGUCACAUCUACCUGUUGGCCAAUUUGAUGUGAGGUGUUGGAGGAGCCGAGAUGACAAGAAUGUGAAGAUGGAAGAAAAGGAAGGGAGUUUCUGAGGUGGAUGAGUUCUGGUCAGAAGCAAGAGCCAGAAUGGGAGUCAACUAUGUCGGCCAGCUGCAGGACUCACAAAGCAGCCAUUUGACAAAUAACUCCUUCUUAAUUGAAACCAUUUGUACUUUUGAUAGAGUAAAUCAAAGAAAUGGGAAAGAACUGGUUCUCGUAUAAGAAUAUCAAGACUGAUAACAUUACAGAAAUAGCGUCAGCUGCAUUUAUCAGAGAUCUUCAACUUGCUGCAGGAAGAACCCAAAGCUUUUGCCACCAUCAUCCUUAUCAUCACUGUCAUCAUAGGGAGGAUAGAUAGGGAAAGAAGCAAAUAGUAACCUAAAGACAUCACCCCACCCCAGCUCCUGGAGGAGAACCAGUGUGCCUCUUGUGAAUGAGUGCACUUCCAAAGGAAUGCAUGUGAACAGGAAUACCAAACAAGAAGGGAAUGAUUAAUUAUCAGUGAAUGUCUACCUAGCUGCAACGAAGAAACACUUCAUCUGCUCCAUGACAGGACCACCCAGGCUUCAUGAAAAUAGAUCACUAUUGGUGUGAGAGACAUGGCUUGCAUGAAGUCUGGUAAAGAGCUCUUGCCAACGUGUAAACACACUUUACCAGCUUACUCUCUCAGAGAAGAACAUUGCCAAUUAAAUCUCCAGGCUUUGACACUCAUCAGAUGCUGGUUACUAUGAAAAGGAGCUAAUAGUUUGGCCGUGUUUGUGUAUGUAUGUUACCCAUGAAGGUAGAGUUCAAUAGAAAGUCCCUAAAUUUGCAGAUAAUAUGAAGGAGGGGGGGAUUGGAAUUCGGUGUGUGCUGGAAGCAGACAAUUUACUUAUUUCUUCCUGUGUAGUAUUCUCACAUUGUCUCUGGAAAGAGUUUUCCUUUCCCCACCUUUCUUUACCUUAAACCCCUCCCCCAAACCUCACAUCUUUAUUGAAGUACAGGUAAAAUUUCAAAUACAUAAACAAAUGAUCACACACACACUCAUGCACGCAUGCACUCAUGCACGCAUGCACACACACACACACACACACACACACACACACACACACAUGAAAUGAUCCCGGAAACUAAGGUGAUUAAGGUAUUAAUCACCCCCAAAUGUUCUUACUCUCCUUUAAAAUCCACUCUUGUCUGGAAACAUACUUCCCAUCAUUCCUUUUCUGGGAAAAUACAGACCUGCUUUUUGUUAUUGUAAAUUAUAUUUUCUAGAGUUGUAUAAGAUCGAAUCAUAUAAUAUGUACUCUCUGGUAUGGGUUCUUUUAGUCAUUAUCCUUAUUUUGAGAUUUACCCAUAUUGUCCAGUGCUAGUUAUUUAUUUAUUUUAUUGCAGAUAGUUUCUUAGAUACAUGAAGGUCAUCUGUUCACAUGAUGGAUGACUUUUGAA